UCCUGCCUCAGCCUCCCAAGCGCUGGGAUUACAGGUGUGUACCACCAUGCAUGAUUUAUGAAUUAAAUGAAUAUGAAUUAAAUAUGAAUUAAAUGCAGACCUUCUUUACUAUAGUUCACCUUUCCUCUGUAAACAUGUCUGGGAUGUUUCAGGACUCAGUGACGUUUGAGGAUGUGGUUGUGAACUUCAGUGUGGAUGAAUGGGCUAUGUUGGAUCAUGCCCAGCGGGAACUCUACCGAGAUGUUGUCGGGGAAAUCUUUAUGAGCUUGGCCUUUAUAGGUAAGGAAGACAAUUUUUCUUUACUUACUCAAUUAAAGAGCAAGUGUUUCUUGCCCAUUAGUGAUGUUCAUGAUUUGAAACGUGGAAAGGAAAUACUGUGGUAAAUAAACUGGCAUGGUUGCAACUCAUCAGAAACUUAGAGUCUAAUAUAAUAUGUUUCCUUUUAAGUUGUAACAAUUAAUGAUUAUGACGUUUUCUCUAAGUUAUAAUAAUUCAUAAUGGUUUUUCUGGCUCUACUUUCUAGGGGAAAAAUGGGACCAGAACAUUGAAGAUUGGUACAGAAAUCAGGGGAGAAAUUUAAGGUAAUUUAUAAUGAAAGGAGAAAGCAGUCUUACCAAAGCAUCUUAAUAUGUCCUAGAGUUUUUUUUGUUGUUGUUGUUUGUUUUGUUUUUGUUUUUUGGUACCAGGGAUUCAACUCAGGAGCACUCUUCCACUGAGCCACAUCCCCAGACCUAUUUUAUAUUUUAUUUAGAGACAGGGUUUCACUGAGUUGCUUAGUGCCUUGCCAUUGCUGAGGCUGGUUUUGAAAUUGUGAUCCUCCUGUCUCAGCCUCCCAAGCCGCUGGGAUUACAGACAUGCACCACCGAGCCCAGCUGUCAUAGAGUUUUUUAUGUAAGUAAAUAAAUAAGCCUCUCUCCAAAUUUUAUGUAUUCAGAAAAAUUUCACCUAUAUAUGUAUUCAAGUGUGAUGUUCGAUGUUUGAAAAAUAGGAACCAUUUAUUAGAGUCUGCAAAUAUCACUGAGUAUCGCUGUUUUAUUUAAUAGAUGAGAUUAAGCCCUCUUGCAGAGCAUUCAAUCUGUUCACUUUCAAAUAAUUUAGACAGGGCAGAAAACCCUCACUUUCUCUGAUAACAAUAAAAAUGUCAGUUUAUAUAAUCCCAGUGGCUCAGGGGGCUGGGGCAGGAGGAUCACAGGUUCAAAGCCAGCCUCAGCAACUUAGAAAGGCCCUAAGAAACUUUGUGAGACCCUGUCUCAUUAUAAAAAAAAGUCUGGGCAUAGCGGCAGGAAAGAUAGUGGAAUGAGAUGGACAUCAUUACCCUAGGUAUAUGUAUGACUGUGCGUAUGCUGCAAUGCUACAUGUACAACCAGAGAAAUGAAAAGUGCUGUAAUUGUGUACAAUGAAUCAAAAUGCAUUCUGUUGUCACAUACCUAAUUAAAAUAAAUAAAUAAUUUUUUAAAAAAGGGUCUGGGGAUGUGGCUCAGUGCUUAAGUGCCUCUGGGUUUAAUUCCUGGCACCAAAAAAAGAAAAAAAAAAAGUUGGGCAUGUGUGGUGAGGCACUGGAUUCUUUUUUUUUUUUUUAAUGUGGUGCUGAGGAUCAAACCCAGUGCCUCAUACCUGGGAGGCAAGUGCUCUGCCAUUGAGCCAUAAUCUCAGCCCUGAGGCACUGGAUUCUAUUCUCUGCACCACAUAUAAUAAAUUUUUUAAAAAAUAUAUACAUAUCAAAAAUGUAUAAAGGUAAAUUGUUAUUAGUUAAUGUUUUUUUUUUUUUAAACAGUAAUCAUAUUAUAGAGAGACUCAGAGAAAGUGAAGAAAA
rnacentral:lncRNA from 1 species